ACUGACAUGGAUGAUUGCACAUACAGAGAUGAUGCAGGAGGAGGAGUGAAAGCGUCUUCUGUUUAUCAGCAGGUCUGGCAAGAGCUCCAGUCUCCAAUCUGAAUCCAGACAUCUCCUGCUGCUGAAUCACGCCAGUAGGAUUAUGGGAUUCCUCACAAUGAAAGAACAGAUUUAAACAUACCCUUCUAUUCUUCAUCAUCGUGGCAGAGGCCUCCAACCCUACAGGUGGUGAAUUAAAUCUACGGUCUGCUCAAGGAUGGCAGGAAUCCAGACGGACUGAUGGCAGCGCUUGGCCAGGGAAAUGGAAGAUUCUCCCAGUGCAUGGAUGGAUUCUGACUGAUGAAGACAGUGGAUUUCCUUUACACACUACAAUGGACACAUCAACACCACUAUACUUCAUUGUAACCCAUAGAAGGUUUGGGAAAAAUUGAAGAAUUGACUCCCCUUCAGUUUGUCAGUGUGAAACUGAAUUAAAUUGGCUACACUUCCAAGACAUCCAACAGAGCGGGCCACGGGUUUUAUUGCAUCCACUGAAAAUGGAUAUUUAACAAAUCGUUGAACACAUUUUUAUGUGGCCGUAGGCUGUGGCAAAGAAGAGCAGCGAAAUUCAUAAGGCUCACUGCUACACGUGGGUGGGAAAUAUAUUUUAUGAAAAAAAAAAAAAAAUCACAGACUGCACUUUCUUCUUUGCAGGGGUUUUAGGAUAGCGAGAGGACAGGAAAUGAUUGGAGGAAGAGAAGGAAAUGGGAACUCAAACUCCAGCAGUAUCCACAGGCUGUCAAGCUCCAAUGAGAUCUAAGAGCUACCGUCCCAGGAUGAUUUUCGGUGAAUAUAGAUUUGAAUUUCUUUCUCUUUCCACUCACAAAGCUUGACUUGGAAUAUAGCUUAACAUCAUCUUUUUAUGUACCUUGCUGCUUUUUUGGUCCUUUUUAGCACUUGACAGCUCGUGAUUGCUGUAUACUUUCGUUGUAUAGAAAAGCGCUGCAUCAACCUCCUGCCUAACAUCUCCUUUUGUGUUUUACAGAAAAAAGAAAAUCAUGCAGGUUUUGAAUGACGGGUGAAUAAAAGAUUUUAAUUAUGAGUGCAAUAUAUUCCUUGAAGCUGAACUUGAAAACAUUUAGUCUGAAUGGCAGUAAUGUGGCCUACUUUAUUAGUCCUUGUAACUAAUGAAUGACCAGUUGAAGGUUUUUCUUGAAUUUUAGCCAUUUCAUUUUUAAUUAAACUAGAGUUGAGUUACUGAAACAAAGAGCAGCCUGACUUGCGAAUAACAACACCUUUACUUGAUUUUAUCCAAGGACUGUACUUGAUGUGUUUUAGAGAGCAGAUUUAGUCUAGCUUUGCUUGUAUCUUUUAUUAUGUGAAUAUUUGAUGGUAAUUUGUUGUGAGGACUCAGCUGCUGAUUUUGUUAUUUGUUUUAGAUCAGUGGGUCGGGAAGAGGAAAUGUGUUUGCGCUGCACUUUGACUUUCACUGAUGGAUGUGCAGUGCAGGAGGAUUAAUUAAAAACAAAUUAAAAAAGGGGGACUCACCUUUAAUUAUCAUUUUGAAUGCUUGUCACACACAAGCACAUACACACUAUUUGUCAUGGAAUAUGGUCUUAUGGUCAUAGCUGCUGGUAGUUCAUCAUAAGGACAUCAUGCAGCUUUCUAAAUGACACUCCACUCCUUAUACUGGAAAGUGAGUGACUUCAGUCAAUAGAGCGCUCUAAUAUCCCACCAAAGUUGCUACAAUGAUCAUUGUAGUGUUUUAAAUAGCUUCAGAAAACUCCUUUAUAUUUAGCUUCAGCAAAUAACUCUCUUAUCAAGAACAGUUUUUCGCUAACAACUUCAAUUUCAGCCUGUUCCUCACACAAAGCUAUUCUAGACUUAAGAAGAUUUGAAAUAUGGUGCAUGUGAGCCAUAUGGACUGAUUUUAUACUUUUAUGGUCC
ensembl:lncRNA